rnacentral:rRNA from 1 species
AUGUCCGCCGCCGGCGACGGGGAAGAUGGCGCCGCCGCCGCCGCCGCCGACACGGUGGUCCUGGAGAUCACCGACGCGGCAGCAUCCCCAUCCUCCGCGCCCCCACCUCCCCCCAUCCCCGUCUCCGCCCUCGCCGGCCCCCUCCCGUCCCCGACAGUCCUCGCGGUCCGCGCCGACCGGAGCAGGCUCAUCGAGAGCUCCUCCUACUUCCGCGCCCUCCUCGGCGGCAGCUUCAGCGAAUCGGGCAGCGGCUACGUGCGGAUCAGCUGCGACCUCGGUGCCGCCGUGCAGGUACUCCGGUACCUCUUCGAGCCUCCCGGGAGCUUCGCGAUCUCGCAUCACAACUUCCUGCCGCUGCUGGAGGGUGCUCUGUUUCUCGCUGUCGAGAGCCUUCUAGUGGACUGUGAAAGGUGGUUCAGAACCGUGAGAUCUCGAAAUCCCUCCAUGGUGGUACCGUUGGAUUUCAUAAUCGAGGCCUGGUUCUUCGCUCAAAAGCAUGGGGUUACUUUUGUUGAAGACGUAUGCCCAGGAUAUCUAGCUCAGAAUUUUGUACAAGUUAUCUCCAGUAGGUCAUUUGUUCAUAUACCUUAUGAUCUGCUGUGCUCCACCAUUGAAUCCCCACACCUGACUGUGGAUAGUGAAAAGCAAUUGUGUGAAGCAAUUUUAUCUUGGAUUUCCGCAAGUAGGCAAUCCUGUGAACAAUCAGUCUCCAACUCAGCAGAUAACCAACUCUCCCUUCUUAGCAAGGUUAGGGUAUGCCUUUUACCUUUAGGAUUUGCAGCAGGUACAAAGAGAAACUGCUUUGAAUUUGGGAACAAUGCUGCAUGUAUGAUUCUUAAUCUGCUUAAGGACAGUUUGCAAACUCUACUGUAUACAGUUACCGAUGACAACUUGGAUAGUUACCGUAUUCGAUUAACAGAAUACUCCAAGAAAAUAGUACUUUCGGGAUGUCCCCAGUUAACUACGCAAUUCCUAUACAUAUCGGCGCUCCCCACUGAUCUAGAUGCUGUAUUUAAGAGAACUAUAGUGAGCGAUGUUAACGAUGGAUGUUUGAACCAUUACAAUGGGCUGGUGAAGAAGGCUAAAACCUUGUCAUUUAGAAAUGUACGCAUUGUGGAUCUCUCCAAAUGUCCAAAUGUACAUUUUGGUGCAGCAAUUUUAUGGAUGAAGUGGGCAUUUCCAGAAUUGAGGACAUUCAUAGCUUCCUAUUGUUUACUCUUUCAGUUUGAAGAUUUGCAGUAUUUGUUACUGAGAUGUCCAUGGAUUAAUGAAAUCAAUUUGAGUAUUGAUACAAGCGUUAUACUAUCCAAGUACUCGAUUAUAUCUUCUAGAUCUGAAGUACGGCGUGACGUGAAUCAAAAUCUAUCUAGCUAUUACAUGCAAAGUGGAUUAUAUGGGACCUCAGUAAACCCAGUUUUCUCAAAUAUAUCAAAAUUGAUACUGGAAGGCCGAAAUGAUAUUACUGAUAUGAACUUGCUGGAGAUAUCCAUGCUGAAAAGUUCCCUGUGUUAUAUAAACAUUAAACAUUGCACCCUGUUGACAGACGAUGGUAUAUCUACACUACUGUUGAAUUGUAGAAAAAUGCACUCGAUGAUUCUUUCUUAUACAUCGUUUGGAAAUCAUUCAAUUCAAACCCUAUGCUCAUUGGAUCCUUCAGAUGGCUUUUCUUACCAUAAGGAUGAACAUGCUCAUGUUAUGGCAUUUAGGUUGCAAGAAUUGCAUCUGGAAGGCUGUGAAGGUAUUAGUUGUGCUGCUAUGUCCCAGCUAGUGAGUAAUAUGAAUAUUGUGAAGUCCUUAUGCUUAAGGGAGACAUCACUUGCAGAUGGUGCUCUCUGCAACUUCGUUGGCUCUUCACUUGAGUAUCUUGAUAUUUCGGAGACUGUGGUUUCUAUGGUCUCAUUUGCACCAGUUAUACGAAGAAACUCUAAUUUGAGCUGCUUGAAAACAGCUGGAUGCCGUAACCUACUGUUUGAACAGGGUGAGGUACAAUCCACGAGCGGUAACAAGUAUGGCAGGUUUCUUCAGGAGAUAACCAGUACGUGCUAUUUAGAGGAUGUAGAAAUGGGCUGGGCAUUUUGCCCUGUUCGAGUUGAUGACCUCAUUCCUUCUUUUAGUAAAGUAAGGCGGAUGACAGUUGGCCUUGGCACAACAUUACCAGAGAAUAUCCUGCAUGCUCUUCCUGAGAUCUGCCCGUUUCUCGAGUCUUUGGUUCUUAGGUUUCAGGUAAUCUCUGACAGAGUUGUAAGAAAUCUAUUGGAAUCGUCAACAAAUCUUCAGGUGCUAUGCCUGCACUAUUGCCUCGGCAGUUUGACUUCAUUUAGCUUUCAAACAAUGGCACCAGCAUUAAGAAUAUUACGGCUCCAGUGGGUUACUCCAUGGAUCACAAAUGAUGAUCUGACAAUUCUUACACAGAAUUGCAAUUUAGUUGAACUUUUGCUGUCUGGUUGCAAACUCCUUGACUCCAACUCUCAAGAGAUAAUCUCUUCUGGGUGGCCAAACUUGGCAUGUUUACAACUUGAGGAAUGUGGUCAGAUAACACUUGAUGGGGUUGAUUCUAUUUUAGAUUGUAAAGCUUUGGAAGAAGUCUUGCUUAGGCACACCGGUAGAGGUAUUGGAAGAACCAUUAUAACAGAUGCUAUCAGAGAGCUGCCGCUCCUAAGGAAGCUGGCGCUGGAUCUCUGCGACGCGUCCGAGGGAGGCUACGACACCCCGAACGUUCCGGAGGGGAAGAUGAUGAGGAGCGUGAGGAUGAGCAGGUGCAAGAAGUCGGCGGCAGCGGCGAGGUCGUGCUUCGUAGAGGCGUCCUCCUCGAGUUCGAACCCGAAGCCGGUGCAGCACAGGGAGACCAUCGUGCUGGAGUGGAGCAGCCGGCAGCUGACGACCGCCGUAGUGGAAGAAAGACUCUAG